rnacentral:misc_RNA from 1 species
GUGAAGAACGUAGCGAAAUGCGAUAAGUAAUGUGAAUUGCAGAAUUCAGUGAAUCAUCGAAUCUUUGAACGCACAUUGCGCCCGCCAGUAUUCUGGCGGGCAUGCCUGUCUGAGCGUCAUUUCAACCCUCAUGCCCCUAGGGCGUGGUGUUGGGGAUCGGCCAAAGCCCGCGAGGGACGGCCGGCCCCUAAAUCUAGUGGCGGACCCGUCGUGGCCUCCUCUGCGAAGUAGUGAUAUUCCGCAUCGGAGAGCGAUGAGCCCCUGCCGUUAAACCCCCAACUUUCCAAGGUUGACCUCAGAUCAGGUAGGAAUACCCGCUGAACUUAAGCAUAUCAAUAAGCGGAGGA